GACCAGUAAACCAGUGAACCAGUAACUAAAACGCUCUGAUGACUGGUCUGAUUUUCAGAACCUUGGGGUAGACCCUAUUUGCGGCUUUCCAUCAGUAGUUCUUCUCCGCCGCUUCGAUCACCGCUUCGCCGCUACCUUCCACCAUGGGAAAGACGAGGGAAAAGUUAAUAUCUUCCCUUCCUUCCCUGUUUUCCUAGUUUCCAAAGUUUAAAAUCUACUUUGCGACUUGAGCUGGAGUUUGCAGUUAUUUAUGUUCUUCUCUCGCUUUUGCAGGAAGGAAUCGAAGUCCAAUCGCAAGUUAGAUAAAAAAGUUCAAUUUUACUCUAAGGUGAAAGAUGCUGUGGCCAGCUUGAGUGCUCAAAAGUCUAUUACUAAG